CGUGCGCAGGAACCCCUUCGGCAGCCUCUGGACCGCCGGUCCUCAGCCCUGGCGGCUCCACCACCAGUGAGAAGGUGUUUUGUUUUGUUUUGUUUUGUUUUGUUUUGUUUUGUUUUGUUUUGUUUUGUUUUGUUUUUUUCAAAACUCUCCUGCCCAGGCAAAACCCCAGCCCGAUUAAAUGAGAAGUAAUACAGGAUGGGACCCAGUAUUUAUUAAAACGCUCUAAAGUGCUUCCAAUUUGCAGCCAAGGAAGGAGAGCCCUGAUCUAAAACGUCCGACACAGGCAAAUAUCUUGAUUCUUUACCCCAUUUAAGCCUCCCAACUAUUUGAUAGUAGCAGCCCCACCAUAAUGAAUGAGGACCGUGAGCUCACCCAGGAUUUGUCCCAUAGCUAUUGGAGCAUCUACUGUACGAAGGAAUCUACGCUUCACAGAUGCACGGGACAUGGGCUCAGUCAGCCUGACAGGACGUCAACCAGAAUCCAUCUGAUGCUUCUCGCUACAGACACAUUUAAAUGUGUUAACUUGUUCAAAAGUUCCCACAACCAGGGUGAACUAUAAAAUUGUCCCAGUGGUCCCUUCGAGGUGCUAAGUGCAGCUGCAGAUGCUUCCAGAUCAUUGUCCACCGGAUCCCACCCUGAGAUGUACUAUUCCACUGGGGACACCGACAAGGACAUCGUGCAGGAGGUGGCAUCAGACCAGGACCUUUUAUAGGCUGAUUUUAUAUUUUAAAACGAUAGGCGCCCCUUGUUUAAUUGUGCUUCACAGACACUGUGUUUUACAAACUGAAGGUCUGGGGCAACACUGUGUUACCAGGUGACGGUUAGCACUUUUUAGCAACAAAGUACUUCUUAAUUCAGGUGUGUGGGGUUUUUUUAAGACAAUGCUACGGCAUUGCUUACUUAACAGACUACAUACAUAACAGACUACAGUGCAGUAUAAACAUCACUUUUAUAUGCACUGGAAAACCAAAAACUUCAUGCAGUGGCCUUCACUGAGAUACUGGCUUUACUGCAGUAGUCUGGAACCAGAUCCACAAUAUCUCUGAGGUCUGCCUACAGUCAGACUUCUCCCAGAUGCCUAGUAUUUUAUAGAUUGUUUUGAAGGGGGCAGAAAGCAACUUUUGUGUUUUUCUGAAAGUAACCUUGGAAGCUGAAUUAUUCUAAGUUUAGAAGCCUCCAGAUAAGGCUGCCAGUCUUGCUCACACCACACAUCCCAACAUUUAAACCCUCAGUGUCGGGACUGCCCUCCUGUUGGCUCUGAGCUCCUCCCAAUAUUGUUUAGGUCUGUUUUCCUUUUCUUUUCCAGUCCUUCUGAGAAAGAGAGAAGAGCAAGUCCUCUCCAUAUCUUAGGCAUGCCUACUGUUAGGGACUGAACUGUGUCUCCCCAAAUCCAUAUGCUGAAGCCAUAACCCCCCGUACCUCAGAAUGGGACUGUAUUUAGAGACAGGGUCUUUUAAAAGGAGACAAAGGUAAAAGGAGGCCAUUAGGGUGGGCCCUAAUCCAAUGUGACUAGUAUCCUUAUAAGAGGAAAUUUGGACAUACAUGGAGGAGAGACCGUGUGAAGACACCCUGGGAAGGCAGCCAUCUGCACGUUAAGGAGAGAGGCCUCACAAUAACCAAACCUGCCAACACAUGGAUCUUGGACCUCCAGCCUCCAGAACUGUGAGAAAAUAAACUGUUGUUUUCACCACCUUGUCUGUGAU